AUUAGAGUUUGAUCAUGGCUCAGAUUGAACGCUGGCGGCAUGCCUAACACAUGCAAGUCGAACGGCAGCGCGGGUAGCAAUACCUGGCGGCGAGUGGCGGACGGGUGAGGAAUACAUAGGAAUCUACCCUGUCGUGGGGGAUAACGUAGGGAAACUUACGCUAAUACCGCAUACGACCGAGAGGUGAAAGCGGCGGACCGCAAGGCGUCGCGCGACUGGAUGAGCCUAUGUCCGAUUAGCUAGUUGGCGGGGUAAUGGCCCACCAAGGCGACGAUCGGUAGCUGGUCUGAGAGGAUGAUCAGCCACACUGGAACUGAGACACGGUCCAGACUCCUACGGGAGGCAGCAGUGGGGAAUAUUGGACAAUGGGCGCAAGCCUGAUCCAGCAAUGCCGCGUGGGUGAAGAAGGCCUUCGGGUUGUAAAGCCCUUUUGUACGGGAAGAAAUCCUGUCGGUUAAUACCCGGCGGGGAUGACGGUACCGUAAGAAUAAGCACCGGCUAACUUCGUGCCAGCAGCCGCGGUAAUACGAAGGGUGCAAGCGUUAAUCGGAAUUACUGGGCGUAAAGCGUGCGUAGGC
rnacentral:rRNA from 1 species